AAACAGAAACAGAAUUGAAAACAGAAUUGAAACCAUAAUUUGACUUGGGGAAAUGUUUAUUUUCAGGAGUGUUUUUGAGAAUAUAGAGACCACCGCAAAUUUCAGCACUGCCAAUCACCUUCUCCGAGCCCACAAC